rnacentral:tRNA from 6 species
GCGGUCGUGGUGUAGUGGUAGCACAAGAGCCUUCCAAGCUCUUAGGGCCAGUUCGAGUCUGGUCGACCGCUCCA